AUUCCAAUCGAACUCGGAGAUAGCUGGUUCUCCCCGAAAUAGCUUUAGGGCUAGCCUCAUGUUAGAUAUCCGGAGGUAAAGCACUGAAUGGCCUAGCGUCCGAGAGGAUAGCGAAGCCUAUCAAACUAAGAAUGCCGGAAUAUUGAUGCAUGGGAGUCAGACAGUGUGAGAUAAAUCUCAUUGUCAAAAGGGAAACAGCCCAGAUCUACAGCUAAGGUCCCAAAUUGUAUCUAAGUGGAAAACGAUGUGGAAAUACGCAGACAACCAGGAUGUUGGCUCAGAAGCAGCCACUCAUUUAAAGAGUGCGUAAUAGCUCACUGGUCGAGCGUCUCUGCGCGGAAAAUUUAACGGGGCUAAGAUACAAACCGAAGCUUAGGCUGCACUUUUAGUGCGGGGUAGGGGAGCGUUGUGUAAGCGGAGAAACGAUAGCGUAAGCGGUCGUGGAGUUUACAGAAGUGAGAAUGCCGGAAUGAGUAGCGCGAAUGAUGUGAGAAUCAUCAUGGCCGGAAACCUCAGGUUUUUGGAGGAAGGUUCGUCCGCUCCAAGUUAGGCGGGAGCUAAGGUGAGGCCGAAAGGCGUAGCCGAUGCACAGACGGUAGAGAUUCCGUCCCCACCGAAAGAUUUAAGCGCAGGGACACUUUUAGAAGGUCGGAGCCAGGUGUUGGUUCUGGUAGAGAUCGAGGGAAGAUUAGUACCGAAGUCCGGCUGGAUAAGAGGCGAGAAAAGCUGCGUGUAUAUCUAAGGUGCCCGUACCGCAAACCGACACAGGUAGGUAGGAAGAAGAUUCUAAGGCCAACGGGAGAAGGGUUGUUAAGGAACUCGGCAAGUUGACCCCGUAACUUCGGAAUAAGGGGUGCUCAUGAAAGUGAGCCGCAGAGAAUAGGCCCAGGCAACUGUUUACCAAAAACACAGGUUUGUGCUAAAUCGAAAGAUGACGUAUACGAGCUGACGCCUGCCCGGUGCUGGAAGGUUAAAAGGAGAUGUGCAAGCAUUGAAUUGAAGCCCCAGUGAACGGCGGCCGUAACUAUAACGGUCCUAAGGUAGCGAAAUUCCUUGUCAGGUAAGUUCUGACCCGCAUGAAAGGCGUAAUGAUCUGGGCACUGUCUCAACAGCCCGCCCGGCGAAAUUGUAGUACCGGUGAAGAUGCCGGUUACCCGCGACAAGACGGAAAGACCCCAUGGAGCUUUACUGUAGCCUAAUAUUGGGUUUCGGUGUUGCAUGCACAGGAUAGAUGGGACGCUGGGAAGUGAGUGCUUUGGCAUUCAUGGAGCGGCCGUUGGGAUACCAUCCUUGCGACAUUGGAAUUCUAACCUGCGCCUUUGAAUCAAGGCGGGGGACAUUGUUAGGUGGGCAGUUUGACUGGGGCGGUCGCCUCCUAAAGAGUAGCGGAGGCGUUCAAAGGUUGGCUCGUCCUGGACGGAAACCAGGAGAGAGAGUGCAAACGCAAAAGCCAGCCUGACUGCGAGACUGACGGGUCGAGCAGAGACGAAAGUCGGAGUUAGUGAUCCGGUGGUAUGUGAGUGGAAAUGCCAUCGCUCAACGGAUAAAAGUUACCCUGGGGAUAACAGGCUGAUCUCCCCCAAGAGUCCACAUCGACGGGGAGGUUUGGCACCUCGAUGUCGGCUCAUCGCAUCCUGGGGCUGUAUUCGGUCCCAAGGGUUUGGCUGUUCGCCAAUUAAAGCGGUACGCGAGCUGGGUUCAGAACGUCGUGAGACAGUUCGGUCCCUAUCUGUCGUGGGCGCAGGAUAUUUGAAAGGCGCUGUCCCUAGUACGAGAGGACCGGGAUGGACGAACCUCUGGUGCACCAGUUGUCACGCCAGUGGCACAGCUGGGCAGCUAUGUUCGGAUCGGAUAAACGCUGAAAGCAUCUAAGCGUGAAGCCGGCCUUAAGAUAAGAUAUCCCACUGAGACAAUCAGGUAAGACCCCUUGAAGACUACAAGGUUGAUAGGCACAAUGUGUAAGUGGCGUGAGUCAUUGAGCAAGCGUGUACUAAUAGGUCGAGGGCUUGACCC
rnacentral:rRNA from 1 species